rnacentral:tRNA from 1 species
GCCUGGCUGGCUCAGUUGGUGGAGUAUGUGACUCUUGAUCUCAGGGUCAUGAGUUCAAGCCCCGCGUUGGGUA